UAUAGAUAUCUGAGCGUACUUUUAAAUAAGUCAAAACUUUCAACAACGGAUCUCUUGGUUCUGGCAUCGAUGAAGAACGCAGCGAAAUGCGAUAAGUAAUGUGAAUUGCAGAAUUCAGUGAAUCAUCGAAUCUUUGAACGCACAUUGCGCCCAUUAGUACUCUAGUGGGCAUGCCUGUUCGAGCGUCAUUACGACCCUUAAGCCUAGCUUAGUAUUGGGAACCUACGUGCGGCAGCUACCCUGUAGCUACCCUGUAGCUCCUUAAAGACAACGGCGGAGACGUGGAGUCCUCUGAGCUUAGUAACUUUUCUAGCUUCUGAAGGCGCCGCGGCCCCUGCCGUAAAACCCCCAACUCUUUAGUGGUUGACCUCGGAUCAGGUAGGAAUACCCGCUGAACUUAAGCAUAUCAAUAAGCGGAGGAAAAGAAACCAACAGGGAUUGCCUUAGUAACGGCGAGUGAAGCGGCAACAGCUCAAAUUUGAAAGCUGGCCUUCGGGUCCGCGUUGUAAUUUGUAGAGGAUGCUUUUGGUUAGGUGCCUUACGAGUUCCCUGGAACGGGACGCCUUAGAGGGUGAGAGCCCCGUACGUUUGGUUACCGAGCCUCUGUAAAGCUCCUUCGACGAGUCGAGUAGUUUGGGAAUGCUGCUCUAAAUGGGAGGUAAAUUUCUUCUAAAGCUAAAUACCGGCCAGAGACCGAUAGCGCACAAGUAGAGUGAUCGAAAGAUGAAAAGCACUUUGAAAAGAGGGUUAAAUAGCACGUGAAAUUGUUGAAAGGGAAGCGUUUAUGACCAGACUUUUUCCUGGCGGAUCAUCCGGUGUUCUCACCGGUGCACUUCGCCAGG
rnacentral:rRNA from 1 species